GCAGUCUGGUGCCAGCAGCCGCGGUAAUUCCAGCUCCAAUAGCGUAUAUUAAAGUUGUUGCAGUUAAAAAGCUCGUAGUUGAACCUUGGGCCUGGCCGGCCGGUCCGCCUCACCGCGUGCACUGGCUCGGCUGGGUCUUUCCUUCUGGAGAACCGCAUGCCCUUCACUGGGUGUGCCGGGGAACCAGGACUUUUACUCUGAACAAAUUAGAUCGCUUAAAGAAGGCCUAUGCUCGAAUAGUCUAGCAUGGAAUAAUAGAAUAGGACGUGCGGUCCUAUUUUGUUGGUUUCUAGGACCGCCGUAAUGAUUAAUAGGGACAGUCGGGGGCAUCAGUAUUCAAUUGUCAGAGGUGAAAUUCUUGGAUUUAUUGAAGACUAACUACUGCGAAAGCAUUUGCCAA
rnacentral:rRNA from 1 species